ensembl:lncRNA
CAGGCAAUGAGGUGGUUUUAAUCUAACGCGAAUGAGAUUGGAUGCAGUAAAGACAGGAGCAAAGUUCUUUCUCCCAUCCCUUCUCCUGGCAAGGAGAAGCUGUGCGUCACAUCCAUGUAGAGUGGGAAUAACAGGUUGAUCACUGUCUCAGCUGGAGCUUCUGUCCUUCUGGCACUGUGGCACCCAACCCUCACGCAGUGCUGGAGGUGAGGAUGCACAGCACAGAACACAGUGGACGAUCCCUCUCCUUGCCCAGUGGCAGCACUGGGCCUGGUGUCCCCCUGGGUACAGUUGGCCCUUUGGGUUCCAGGCACACUGCUGGCUCAGACUGAACGUGCAGCCUUGCUGCAGGGAAGCUUCUCAUUACCCGGUCUGUCCAUACAGCCAGGGCUGCCCCUUGACAGGUGCAGCAUCCAAUGCUUGCUCUCGUUACACUUCAUGCAGCUGGUGGUGGCCCUGCCCUUUGAUUUGUUAUGAACUCCCUGAGAGGCCUUCCUGCCCUCCUGGGAACCAUAAGCUCCUCCCAUUGGAGUGUUGUCAGCAAACUUAAUGUGUGCUCACAUCCCAUCUCUGAGCCAUCAAUGAAAACCUUGCAGAGAGCUGGCCCUAUUGUGGAACCCACCUGGCAGCUGCUACCAGCCUGCUCUGAUUCCAUUUGCUACGGCUGCCGUGACCACCACACAAGUAGCUGUGGUGCCACCUCUGCUGGGGUACCUCUGUCUCACUGGGGGGUCUCACCGUGCAUCUGCACAGGAUAGAGCAGGAUGCGUGCCCGUGGCUGUCCGAAGGGCUGAUUGCCCCAUCCCGCGCUGGGUCCAGCACCUUCAGAGUGGCAGAGGAUGGAGCCCCGCCUCCCCUCUCCCUUCAGUACAAAACUAAGGACAACCAGCUCACCUCCGUCGGUGCCAAAAGGUGAGAGAAGGGAGGGGGUGGUGCCAGCAGUGCUCACUGCUCUGUGAACCCCGAGCUCUCUGCUGCAGGUCUGGGUGACCCAGGGGAGACCUGGGGGUGAGAGGAAGACGGGGAGCAUCUGCCGCCGAGCCCCUUGGAGAGCUGAGCAUGGCAGAGCUGAGAUGAAAGUGUCCCGGGUUGGUGGUGUAAGGAAAGGAUCUGACAGCUUCGCAGGGCAUCACCAGGAGAUGCUUUGAUGUAGGCACAGAGGGGAGAUGUCUCGAAUGGUACCAGAUAACAGCUGCUCUCAGUGACUGUAAUGGGAAAUAAAAGGAG